CCUCUCCAGAACACGAAGCCUGGGUGAAAUAAUAUGGAGGAUAGGCUGUUACCCAAGCAGCAAAUCCCCCCUCUCUACAUCGCUGAAAUAGUCCAAUGGAAAGGCAAAAGCCAAUACAACUGGGUCCAGCGAUGUUGCCAGAAGGACACAAACUGCUUCCGGGACUCCAGCUCCAGAUUUUGCCUCGAGGCGAACUCCUGAAGCCUUUUCCAUCAGGGGGUAUAGCCACAAGGCAGUGGAGGUUUGGAAUCAAGAGUUUUCCUUCUCCUAGAUGGGCUAGACUGCAAGCUUGCAACUUGUUUGAUUUUUGUUGAGUGGUUCAAUACAGGUCUCACCCCACUCUUGCCUUUGUGUACAGUAGUUCUGAACCACACGGCCUUUUCUUUCCCAAUUCUGUGUAAAAUAUAGCCCUUCAUCUCAAAGGUGCCACAACGGUGUUGGCCGUCUCCUUUUGUUUUUCUGUUUGUUCUCCCCCAUAUCUGGCCUGGCCACCGCCCAACCCUUCCAAUUAAAAACGGGGGGUGGUUGGACUGGGGGGGGCAGAAAGCCUCAGGAGGCAAGUUUGCAAAACCCUCCUGCUUUGGGAUGCCCUGCCCUGCCAGAAGGGCCCGAAGAGCGGGAGGCCCCACGAAUAAAACCCGAAGGAAGCCACUUCCUAGCCCAAGUCGGGAUGCAAAAGUGUCUCGGCGGGUCCCCCCCCCCCCCAAAGGCCGGGGCCUUCCCACCGCCUCUGCAGAAGGUGCCCGGGCAGCCAUAUUGCUGGCCCUCCCUCGGAAGAAGGAGCAAACUUUGCACCAGCCCUUCCCACCUUCUCCCUUCUUUGGGUGACUGGGAAGGAACUUUUUAAAGUCUCAUGGGGGGGGGACUACCGGCCAGAAAUGGCAUGGGACCAAACGGGGUUUUAUUUUUCUUUCCCCCCCCCCCCACUCCCUGCAAAGCUAGCAAACUUCCCAGCCCCGGCGCUGUUUGCUUCCAGGCUGGCCCUAAAAAGCCUUGGAAAACGAAACAGCCCCCCCCCUCUACUAAGUUGGGAAAGGGUUAAAGGAGGCGCUACGUCGCCUUCCCUAGUCCAAGUGGACGGGGGUGGCGUAUUCAGGACGCGCUUUACGCAAACAGCGCACAGGCCCCGUCUCGCGGCGCUGCGUGUGUGCGCGGCGGACCCUCCGAUGGGGCGCGCGAGCGGGUCUCUCGCGCUAAGAGUCCGGCCCCGCCCCCCCCGCUCGAGCCCUGCAACCGCCGCCUUCCUCCCGUCCUCGCCCUGGCCUCUUAUUGGCCGAGACGCCCGUCACUCCCAGCCCGGGGCUCCUCUCGCGCUCCCCAUUCAUGCAGUUUGGCUGCUGCUGAAGGCGAGGUAAAGGAGGAGCCAAAGAGAAGAUCGGCUAGACUAUCUGCUGUGAGUAGCUUUCCUCUUCCCUUUAUUUCAUGUUGCACUUCCAGUACAUUGAUGCUGAUAUGGGAAACUUCAAACUAUUUGUUUCUAAAAGCAUCUCGGAGACAAAAAAAAAAAAGAGAGAGAGAGGUUCUUACCUUUGUUAAAUGUCUGAUGGGGCUGGUGUACAAGUGGUGAAUCCUGAGGUGUCUGGUUCAAGACUCCCUUCAGCCAUGAAGUCAGAAUACGACCCACAAGAUGAGCCAUGCACCUGAAACGACACGGGCCUGUUGUUGAAAAUAGCAGUGCUGCAUAGGAGCCCUCAUUCAGCAUACACCCAUAUUGCAGGGCUCUGAAAGUUGCUGAAUUCCACCAUUGCAGCUGGUGAGAGACUGGGAAAUGUAAUGUGUCAGGGUAUAGGAUAAAUGCAACUAGACUUGAAACAUGAUCUUGAUAUGAAAAUUUCUACUCUGCCUUUUUUUAUCAGCUAGGAUGAAGAUAGUGUCAUUGUGUCUGUGUGUGUUUUUAAAUAAAAUCUUUUGCUUAAAGCUAUCCA
ensembl:lncRNA